ACUCCUACGGGAGGCAGCAGUGGGGAAUAUUGCACAAUGGGGAAACCCUGAUGCAGCCAUGCCGCGUGUGUGAAGAAGGCCUUCGGUUGUAAAGCACUUUCAGUAGGGAGGAAGGUAGUGUAGUUAACACCUGCAUUAUUUGACGUUACCUACAGAAGAAGCACCGGCUAACUCCGUGCCAGCAGCCGCGGUAAUACGGAGGGUGCGAGCGUUAAUCGGAAUUACUGGGCGUAAAGCGCAUGCAGGCGGCCUGUUAAGUCAGAUGUGAAAGCCCGGGGCUUAACCUCGGAAUUGCAUUUGAAACUGGCAGGCUAGAGUCUUGUAGAGGGGGUAGG
rnacentral:rRNA from 1 species